rnacentral:rRNA from 1 species
UGAGGAAUAUUGGUCAAUGGGCGAGAGCCUGAACCAGCCAAGUAGCGUGAAGGAUGACAGCCCUAUGGGUUUUAAACUUCUUUUAUAAGGGAAUAAAGUGCCCCACGUGUGGGGUUUUGUAUGUACCUUAUGAAUAAGCAUCGGCUAAUUCCGUGCCAGCAGCCGCGGUAAUACGGAAGAUGCGAGCGUUAUCCGGAUUUAUUGGGUUUAAAGGGAGCGUAGGCGGUUCCAUAAGUCAGCGGUAAAAUCGUGCGGCUCAACCGUACCGUGCCGUUGAAACUGUGGGACUUGAGUAUGCGCAGG